CGUACCUUUUCGUUAAUUUCGUUCAAUUGAGGGGAAAAUACAUGGUAUCCAUAUUUAUUUCUUCUUUCUAAAACAAAGUCGAACUGAACUUAGAGUUCUCCCGUUCUCUACGAUUCCUUUCUUAAUCGAAAUCUUCCCCACGCGAUUCACCACUGACACCAUGAUCAACACCAGCAGAAAUAGCAGCACCGCUACACCUAUGUCCGUUAAUGAUUUUCAUCUCCACACGAAAUAGAGAAGAACUGAAAUCCAGGAUAGGGUUUAGUUAUUUUGGGGAUUUAGUCGAGAUACCAUUUCCGUUCUUUCUUCGAACCCCAAUGUACUGCACACAAUUUUCUAUCAGAAAAAGUUGAACUCGAUUUCAAGUUUCCCAGCACGAAAUUUCAAUUUUUCGCAUUUUCUCCCAUUCUUUCAUCAAUUGAGUUCACACAAUUUCUAUCAAAAGAAAUUUUGGUUUCAAUUUUGUCAUCCUAACAUAUUUGGUUCCUCUGGAACAAAUUUGCAAGAUAAAUGGAUAUUCAUUCCUCUAAAGAGUUGCAGGGAUCUGUGUCCUUAUUAUAGAAGCUGAUCAAGGUCCUUUUCGUUGGGGAUCAUAAUAGCAAAGCUGAAUCUGAACUGUCUAUGGGGGAGCAAUAUACUCAACAAUCAGGUAUAUAGAGUAUUUAUCUUACAAAAUUCCCUAACCUGAAGUAAGUUGUCCCUUUGUUACACUCAAUGGAAUAUACACAGGCCGAAGGGGUUCAGGUGAGGGUUACACUUACAGGACAUUCCUAUUGAAUUUCGCAAUGUCAGCUUGGGAAUUUUAGAAACAACGUUGUAGAUGGAGGCUUAGGUUAACCAUACACCUAUUUGUGUUUGUCAGGAAUGCAAGUCGGACGCCCAAUUAGGAACCAUUGUUGUUGAAUGGCCAUAAAAAUGUGAUUAGGAUCCCUGCCUAAAUUGAUCAGUCUUAGUACAUAUUAUUUGCCUUUUAAUACUGGGGAUGAUAGGUAUAUAAAGGUAUUUUAUUUCCAUGACAAUUUCAGAAGUUUAGUGAUUAGUUUCCAUAUUAUUUGUUGGCCUUUUUAUUUUGUUUUUGUUGAAUUUGAGGAUAUGAACUAUUGAGCGUUUUUGUUGAGAUGAACUAGAGUAUUUUUGCAGAUAUCCACAUUUGAGCACAUAUUUAAUGCAGAUAUUGGUGGCUCAGAGGGUGAUUCUCGUAUUUUUGUCUCAUGUGUAAUUUUGAUUUUUGGUUGUUUAGAUUGAGUAGUUCGAUUUUGUCCACUAAGAUUGCCUUGGUGAUCGAUGUAUGAAUUGGUUUCCUUUCUUUUCGAUGGGCGAGUUUCCUCUUUUACCUCCUCAAACUUUGUUUCAUGUUGACGGUUAUGUGAACGUUUUAAGGUUUUACUUUUUA